UUAUAGAUUGUGGUCUGGAUAAUCCAACAAUGCCUGUCUCCUGACAGAAAGGCUAAGAACCAGUUAUUGUUUGCUAACAAGACUGGUGUCUGAGAAGUUCCAGUCUGGUUCUGGAGUCCUGGAGGAUUUCUAAAGAGUCUUCAGUCUACAUCGGAGUCCCUAAGAAGUAGGUUCUAAUACCAGUGAAGGAAUGCCUCAGCAGCAAUGGUUAGAUGAACUUGCCAGUGAGAAUGAGGGCGAGCAGGUCAAGAGGCGGAGCAAGCAGCCAGUUGACUGGAAGUAGACAUAGAGCAUGAGGGCUGUGGUGGGACACAAAGGCUCUCCUGGCCGUGGCCUCAGAACCAAGGUGGUGGCAGCUGCAGAUGGUGCAGUCAGCAGCUGAGGCAGAGAUAGGAUCAGGUGCAGUUGCUGCGCCUCAGAUUUAGAGCAAGUGCGUGGUCACCAGUCAAACCAGAAAAGCAUGCCAUCAAUACAAGAUGGAAAACAGACGCAAACUCUCCAAUCCUGAGAGACAAGAAGUGAUGUUACCAUGGGCAUGAAGAAGAAAACUGAGGUGACAUGCCCCAGGAACUCUUGAAUCUUCACCUACCAGGACUCACCAGGAAGAGGUGCAGACACCCCAGAAGCCCACACUGUCACCAAGUGGUUAUGUGAUACAUCAGUGAAAACUGGGAGAGAAUGUGCACAAAGUGGCUUCAUGUUUAUGUCCUUCUUGAUCAUCUUUAGAAAUCCAAUACUGAGAACUUGUGUCGGGGGGAGAACAUUCUUGCUUUUGUUUUGAAUGACAUUUAAAUAUUGGGCUGGGAGCAACAGCUCGGCUGGACAGACAGCAACAACAAGGCUGAAUUCUGCUCACGUGCCAGAUGUAGAUCCCAGACUCCUCUGGAAUAAGAGAGGAGAUGGAAAAUUUGGGCCCAUCAAGCAGACAUUCUGUCAUGCCAGGCGUCAACAGCAGGACAUAUCCACAGGGUCAGAAUCCCACUUCCUCUCAGAGGAACCACGAAAGUGUGAAUUAACUAUAGGAGACCUUGAGCUACCCUCUUACAGCCCCGGGAAACUUUAGGUCCCAUGUUUUCCAACUCUGUCUCCAUGACUCUUUCAUGAUUCUUAAAUAUACAAGAAGAUGAUCUUCCUGGUAG